rnacentral:lncRNA from 1 species
UUACCUGUUAUUUUUCUUUGUCUGUGUUCAUCUUCCUUUUUCCAUUUGAUCUGCUGCACACCAUCCUUUUUGGAGACUGCUGUGCUGCACCACUCUAAACCACUAUUCCCUAUUUUAUGGACUGAAAGCUGCAAGUUUAAAAUCUUCUCUUGUAAUAAGGCCCUAGUCCCCUGGACCCUCAUGGACCCAGCAGGCAGAUGUCUGGAUCUUCAGUUUUACCCAGGGAGUCCAAACCUGGGCAUACAGAAUGAUGAACGACUUUGAGCACUCCUCGCUCAGCAAUGCUGUUCUCUCUGCCUCUACACCCAUUAGCUCCACAGCUUCUCAGCUGGUUCCUGGUUUUUAAGCCUGUACCUGGUUGUCUGUGUUCCAGAUCAGUUAGAUCACAAUGGAGUCCUUAAGCAAUUUAUGUGCAUGAAUGGAUAUCUGAUACUAAUGUGGACACCCAAUCAUACCUAGAGAUUGUGUUACUGCUAAAACUCCCAAGAUUCUGAAAAGUCAGAAAUUUUAGGGGGCCUUUAGGUGUGAAAGGGGCUGCAAACCACUGUCUGGACCAAAGGACCAGAGUUUGGUCCGACCAAGAGAUGUGGUCUCGGUCCGGAUCUACUGAACUAUGCUCUGGUUCGCCUGCAGUGUGAAAGCACUUUUCUAGAUGGUUCAGACUUUCAGACCAAUUAAAGAAAGCAGAGGCAGCCCUUUAAACAAACUAGAGGAGGAAAGGAUUGGUGCUGAACUGAAAUCUGACUCCCCUUGGCGUGCAGGCGCAUCACCAUUAUAGGAC